rnacentral:lncRNA from 1 species
GGCAGCGGCAGCCGCCGCGGCGGCGCCCUCGUGCACGCGCUUGUGCUUGGUGAGGCUGGAAGCCUGGCCGAAGGCCUUGCCGCAGAGCUGGCAGCGGUAGGGGCGCUCUCCGGAAUGCACGUGCAGGUGCUGCAGCAGCGCGGAGCUCUGCCCGAAGGCCUUGGAGCAGUGGGGGCAGGCGUAGGGCCGCUCGCCCGUGUGGAUGCGCAGGUGGUGCUGCAGGUUGGAGCUCUGGCCGAACGCCUUGCCGCAGUGGGGACAGCGGUACGGGCGCUCCGCCGUGUGCGUGCGCUGGUGCUGCAGCAGCGCCGAGCUCUGGCCGAAGGCCUUGCCGCACUGCGGGCACGGGUACGGCCGCUCGCCCGUGUGCGUGCGCAGGUGCUUCAGCAGCGCGGAGCCCUGCCCGAAGCCCUUGGCGCACACGGGGCACUUGUGCGGCCGCGGGCCGCCGUGCGUGCGCAGGUGCUGCGCCAGCAGCGAGCCGUGCCCGAAGGCCUUGCCGCACACGGGGCAGUGGUGCGGCUUCUCGCCGCUGUGGCUGCUACGGU